rnacentral:tRNA from 1 species
UGUAGCCCAGUGGUAGAGUGUAUGCUUCACAUGCAUAAGGCCCUGGGUUCCACACCUAGCA